rnacentral:rRNA from 1 species
UAGGGAAUCUUCCACAAUGGACGCAAGUCUGAUGGAGCAACGCCGCGUGAGUGAAGAAGGUUUUCGGACCGUAAAGCUCUGUUGUUGGUGAAGAAGGAUAGAGGUAGUAACUGGCCUUUAUUUGACGGUAAUCAACCAGAAAGUCACGGCUAACUACGUGCCAGCAGCCGCGGUAAUACGUAGGUGGCAAGCGUUGUCCGGAUUUAUUGGGCGUAAAGCGAGCGCAGGCGGAAGAAUAAGUCUGAUGUAAAAGCCCUCGGCUUAACCGAGGAAUUGCAUCGGAAACUGUUUUCUUGAGUGCAGAAGAGGAGAGUAGAAACUCCAUGUGUAGCGGUGGAAUGCGUAGAUAUAUGGAAGAAUACCAGUGGCGAAGGCGGCUCUCUGGUCUGCAACUGACGCUGAGGCUCGAAAAGCAUGGGUAGCGAACAGGAUUAGAUACCCUGGUAGUCCAUGCCGUAAAACGAUGAGUG